GUAUAAACGAUGGCAAUAAUCAAAAAAAAAUGGAUUUUUAUAAAGAAAAAGGUGAAGAAACGCUCUGAUUUGGUAUCUUCUUUAUCUUUCUUUAUUUUACUUCUUUUCUUUCU
rnacentral:ribozyme from 1 species